UCACAGCAUGGGCCUUUACAUCGGUCCAUCUAAAAACCGAUGGGAAAUGUCUCCCAUCAUUUUUCACUAAAACCCUAGCCUCCUUUCCAACACAAACAAUAUUUCGUUGUUUUUUCUUUCCAAGAUACAGUCGCUGCCAAAACUUCCUCCGACGAAGCGACCUCCUCCGAGACCCUACCUCCUCCGACGAAGCGAUCUCUUCCGAAGACCCUACCACCAACGACGACCACCAUCCUACCGUCACGACCCAACCUCCGACGAUGACCACCAUCCUGCCGUCACGACCAUACCUCCGACAACAACCACCCUUCUGCCGUCACCACCCUUCGACCUUCUCAGGCAACUUUUAUCUCCGCGUUUAUGAAUCUCAAGUCAGGAUUAUCCAUAAAUGCUCGUGUGUCUUUGAGGUAUUUGAUGAUCCUACAUAAUUAACACAGGAUGAUUUGUAUGAUUUGUGAUUCCGUUUGGAAAAAUGUUUCUUUGAGUUGUAUAAAGAUUAACCUUUAUCUGGUAAAGUAAUUUUGGUGUUGUCUUCAGAAACCACAACUCAUCUUCAUGUUGGUAUUUCAAGUGCGCGAAAGGACUUAAAUAGUUGGAUAUUUUGUUGUUUUGUUAUUUUGUAGUAGUCUACCAUGUGUAAACUUUCUUAUACUGUAGUACACUUGUGUAUC